UACGUAGGUGGCAAGCGUUGUCCGGAUUUAUUGGGUUUAAAGGGUGCGUAGGCGGCUUAAUAAGUCAGUGGUGAAAGCCGAUCGCUUAACGAUCGAACUGCCAAUUGAUACUGCUAGGCUUGAGUAUAGAUGAGGUAGGCGGAAUUGACAGUGUAGCGGUGAAAUGCAUAGAUAUUGUCAAGAACACCAAAUUUGCGAAGG
rnacentral:rRNA from 1 species